UUAGUAACGCGUGGGAACGUGCCCUUCACUACGGAAUAGUCCCGGGAAACUGGGUUUAAUACCGUAUACGCCCUUCGGGGGAAAGAUUUAUCGGUGAAGGAUCGGCCCGCGUCUGAUUAGAUAGUUGGUGGGGUAACGGCCUACCAAGUCUACGAUCAGUAGCUGGUUUGAGAGGAUGAUCAGCAACACUGGGACUGAGACACGGCCCAGACUCCUACGGGAGGCAGCAGUGGGGAAUCUUAGACAAUGGGCGCAAGCCUGAUCUAGCCAUGCCGCGUGAGUGAUGAAGGCCUUAGGGUCGUAAAGCUCUUUCGCCAGGGAUGAUAAUGACAGUACCUGGUAAAGAAACCCCGGCUAACUCCGUGCCAGCAGCCGCGGUAAUACGGAGGGGGUUAGCGUUGUUCGGAAUUACUGGGCGUAAAGCGCGCGUAGGCGGAUUAGUCAGUCAGAGGUGAAAUCCCAGGGCUCAACCCUGGAACUGCCUUUGAUACUGCUAGUCUUGAGUUCGAGAGAGGUGAGUGGAAUUCCGAGUGUAGAGGUGAAAUUCGUAGAUAUUCGGAGGAACACCAGUGGCGAAGGCGGCUCACUGGCUCGAUACUGACGCUGAGGUGCGAAAGUGUGGGGAGCAAACAGGAUUAGAUACCCUGGUA
rnacentral:rRNA from 1 species